rnacentral:tRNA from 1 species
GGCGACAUAGCCAAGUGGUAAGGCAGGGGACUGCAAAUCCUUUAUCCCCAGUUCGAAUCUGGGUGUCGCCUGAUCAAUAAA